GCAUUGGUGGUUCAGUGGUAGAAUUCUUGCCUUCCAUGAAUGACACCAGGGUUUGAAUCCCGACCAGUGCA
rnacentral:tRNA from 1 species